AUUGAACGCUGGCGGCGUGCUUAACACAUGCAAGUCGAACGGUAACAGGCCCUUCGGGGUGCUGACGAGUGGCGGACGGGUGAGUAAUGCGUAGGAAUCUGCCUUACAGUGGGGAUAACCUAGGGAACUUAGGCUAAUACCGCAUAAGCUCUACGGAGGAAAGCGGGGAUCGUAAGACCUCGCGCUGUUAGAUGAGCCUACGUCCGAUUAGCUAGUUGGUAGGGUAAAGGCCNCCAAGGCGACGAUCGGUAGCUGGUCUGAGAGGACGAUCAGCCACACUGGGACUGAGACACGGCCCAGACUCCUACGGGAGGGCAGCAGUGGGGAAGUA
rnacentral:rRNA from 1 species